rnacentral:lncRNA from 1 species
AGUGUGGAGGUCGAAUCGAUCGAACCCGAUCCUAGGGUUCUUGAAUUUUUCUGGAAAAUUUUCACCGGCUUAAUUGGAGCUCUUCCAGGACGAGAGGAGUCUUCGUACGAGGAAAAUACCGAGCGACGUCAGGAUUGAGCAUAUAUUUUUUCAGUGUUGCUGCUCGGCGUUCUGAAGUGAGCCAUAGUGACCGCAUCCGCUUCCGUCAUCAUAUUUUGUAGGUUAUUUAUUUAGCCUACUGUACUCUAUGUUAAACUUAUAUUCCUAGAAUGCUCUGACUACUAAGGGAUGUGUGACCCAAACUUGUAUGAAUUAUAUUUGAGGUCUAUGACCUAACUUUGGUGAUUGUAGUAACUUGUACCUUUCGGAGAUUAUGUAUGAUGGUGGCUCCAGGUGUUGUGGUUGGAUUUUUUUAG